rnacentral:lncRNA from 1 species
AGUUUUACUGAUCAUUUUGACCAGGUAAAAAAGCUUUUUCAUAUUUGCCCACAGAGAGUUUAUACAGUAGUUGUAUAUUUUUGACAAAAAAAUGAUAACACAGUAUAGGGAUGGAGUGCUGAUAGUCCAAAUAAUAGGGCGGUUUUGGCACAGCGUGAGGGAUGACAACUAUAAAAUAACAGAUCAUAGAAUAAGUCAUCCCAGUAAGCCUAAUAAGUAAGGCUAGAGUGCAGACGAAUGCACUUAAAAGUAGUUGCGUAGAUAGAUGCCACACCUGUAACACCGUAGGACAGAAUGGAGGACAUAAAAGUACUAGAACCGACAGUUAAUGUUCAUGUGUUUAGUGA